ensembl:snRNA U4 U4 spliceosomal RNA
AGCUUUGCGCAGUGGCAGUGUUGUAGCCAAUGAGGUUAUCCAAGGUGCUAUUAUUGCUAAUUGAAAAAACUUUUCCCAGUACCCCGCUGUGACGACUUGCAAUACAGUCGGAACUGGCAAUUUUUGACAGUCUCUAUGGAGA